UACAGAGGGUGCGAGCGUUAAUCGGAAUUACUGGGCGUAAAGCGUGCGUAGACGGUCAAGUAAGUCGGGUGUGAAAGCCCCGGGCUCAACCUGGGAAUUGCAUUCGAGACUGCGUGGCUAGGGUGCGGAAGAGGGAAGCGGAAUUUCCGGUGUAGCGGUGAAAUGCGUAGAUAUCGGAAGGAACACCUGUGGCAAAAGCGGCUCACUGGACCAUUACUGACGCUGAGGCACGAAAGCUAGGGGAGCAAACAGG
rnacentral:rRNA from 1 species